rnacentral:rRNA from 1 species
UACAGAGGUCCCAAGCGUUGUUCGGAUUCAUUGGGCGUAAAGGGUGCGUAGGCGGCGCGGUAAGUCGGGUGUGAAAUCUCGGGGCUUAACUCCGAAACUGCAUUCGAUACUGCCGUGCUUGAGGACUGGAGAGGAGACUGGAAUUUACGGUGUAGCAGGUGAAAUGCGGUAGAUAGUCGAUAAGGAAGACCAGUGGCGAAGGCGGGUCUCUGGACAGUUCCAUGACGCUGGAGGCAACGGAAG